rnacentral:rRNA from 1 species
AGAGUUUGAUCCCUGGCUCAGGAUGAACGCUGGCGGCGUGCCUAAUACAUGCAAGUCGAGCGAAUGGAUUAAGAGCUUGCUCUUAUGAAGUUAGCGGCGGACGGGUGAGUAACACGUGGGUAACCUGCCCAUAAGACUGGGAUAACUCCGGGAAACCGGGGCUAAUACCGGAUAACAUUUUGCACCGCAUGGUGCGAAAUUCAAAGGCGGCUUCGGCUGUCACUUAUGGAUGGACCCGCGUCGCAUUAGCUAGUUGGUGAGGUAACGGCUCACCAAGGCAACGAUGCGUAGCCGACCUGAGAGGGUGAUCGGCCACACUGGGACUGAGACACGGCCCAGACUCCUACGGGAGGCAGCAGUAGGGAAUCUUCCGCAAUGGACGAAAGUCUGACGGAGCAACGCCGCGUGAGUGAUGAAGGCUUUCGGGUCGUAAAACUCUGUUGUUAGGGAAGAACAAGUGCUAGUUGAAUAAGCUGGCACC